CGGAGUCAAGAAUGCAAUUUCGUUGGGAGUUCGAGAGUUUAUCGAAAGUCCGGACGUUCGUCGGAAGUUCUACUAGAAUUGACCGAGAAGUCAUAGAGCUUGCUAAAGAAGCUCAUCAAGAAGAUUGUCAUGAAGUCUAGGAGCUUGCCGAGAGUCCAUCGGAACAUUGUUGAGAGAUCGUCAGAAGUUCGCCAGAAGAUCG
rnacentral:lncRNA from 1 species